rnacentral:lncRNA from 7 species
CUCACCCCCCUCUAGCCCCACUGCUCCUCCCCCUCUCCCCCCUCUCCUUCACUUCCCCUCCCCCUCCCCUCCCCUCUUUUGCCCCCAUCCACUACCAUUCCCCCUUGCUUUAAGGGAAACUUACCUUUCCUGCUCUUCACUGACUUCUUGAUUCUCGUGGCUUUGGCUGCUAUUUUGCCUUGCUUUCCUUUGCUCUGCUAUGCAUUGCUUUCUCUGUAUUUCUUGCCAUCCACUCCUUCCUUGAGUUAUUCUUUACUUUUUCACUUGGCUUUUUCUUCUUUUCUCUUUACCUUUCUUCUCUUGUCAUUAUUCGGUUUUUUGUUUGUUUUUCUGUUUUCAUCUAUUAGUUUUUUCUUUCUUUUUUCCUUUUUCUUUUUUUUUCUUUUCUCUUUUUUAUUCUAUUUCUCUUGUUUUCUUUCUCUUUUCUUCGUUUUCUUUUUCUGUCUUUUCUCUUUUUUUUCUUUUUUGUUCAUUUUCUUUCUUUCUUUUCUUUUUUCUCUUUUUUGUUCAUUUUCUUUUUGUCUUUUAUCUUUUUUCUCUUUUUCAUUCAUUUUUUUUUUUUCUUUUCAUUUUUUCUCUUUUUCUUAUUUUUCUUUUCUUUUUUCUCUUUUUCAUAUUUUUUGUUCUUAUUUUUUCUUUUCUUUUCUUUUUUCAUCAUAGGUUUGCCUUCAGCCCUCCCCUCAGCCUUCCCUCCGCUCUGCUCUUCA